UACGGAGGGUGCAAACGUUGCUCGGAAUCAUUGGGCGUAAAGCGCACGUAGGCGGCUCGUUAAGUCGGAUGUGAAAGCCCUCGGCUCAACCGAGGAAGUGCAUACGAAACUGGCGAGCUUGAAUAUGGAAGAGGGUCGCGGAAUUCCCGGUGUAGAGGUGAAAUUCGUAGAUAUCGGGAGGAACACCAGUGGCGAAGGCGGCUG
rnacentral:rRNA from 1 species